rnacentral:rRNA from 1 species
GAUGAACGCUGGCGGCGUGCCUAAUACAUGCAAGUCGAGCGAACGGACGAGAAGCUUGCUUCUCUGAUGUUAGCGGCGGACGGGUGAGUAACACGUGGAUAACCUACCUAUAAGACUGGGAUAACUUCGGGAAACCGGAGCUAAUACCGGAUAAUAUUUUGAACCGCAUGGUUCAAAAGUGAAAGACGGUCUUGCUGUCACUUAUAGAUGGAUCCGCGCUGCAUUAGCUAGUUGGUAAGGUAACGGCUUACCAAGGCAACGAUGCAUAGCCGACCUGAGAGGGUGAUCGGCCACACUGGAACUGAGACACGGUCCAGACUCCUACGGGAGGCAGCAGUAGGGAAUCUUCCGCAAUGGGCGAAAGCCUGACGGAGCAACGCCGCGUGAGUGAUGAAGGUCUUCGGAUCGUAAAACUCUGUUAUUAGGGAAGAACAUAUGUGUAAGUAACUGUGCACAUCUUGACGGUACCUAAUCAGAAAGCCACGGCUAACUACGUGCCAGCAGCCGCGGUAAUACGUAGGUGGCAAGCGUUAUCCGGAAUUAUUGGGCGUAAAGCGCGCGUAGGCGGUUUUUUAAGUCUGAUGUGAAAGCCCACGGCUCAACCGUGGAGGGUCAUUGGAAACUGGAAAACUUGAGUGCAGAAGAGGAAAGUGGAAUUCCAUGUGUAGCGGUGAAAUGCGCAGAGAUAUGGAGGAACACCAGUGGCGAAGGCGACUUUCUGGUCUGUAACUGGCGCUGAUGUGCGAAAGCGUGGGGAUCAAACAGGAUUAGAUACCCUGGUAGUCCACGCCGUAAACGAUGAGUGCUAAGUGUUAGGGGGUUUCCGCCCCUUAGUGCUGCAGCUAACGCAUUAAGCACUCCGCCUGGGGAGUACGACCGCAAGGUUGAAACUCAAAGGAAUUGACGGGGACCCGCACAAGCGGUGGAGCAUGUGGUUUAAUUCGAAGCAACGCGAAGAACCUUACCAAAUCUUGACAUCCUUUGACAACUCUAGAGAUAGAGCUUCCCCUUCGGGGGACAAAGUGACAGGUGGUGCAUGGUUGUCGUCAGCUCGUGUCGUGAGAUGUUGGGUUAAGUCCCGCAACGAGCGCAACCCUUAAGCUUAGUUGCCAUCAUUAAGUUGGGCACUCUAAGUUGACUGCCGGUGACAAACCGGAGGAAGGUGGGGAUGACGUCAAAUCAUCAUGCCCCUUAUGAUUUGGGCUACACACGUGCUACAAUGGACAAUACAAAGGGCAGCGAAACCGUGAGGUCAAGCAAAUCCCAUAAAGUUGUUCUCAGUUCGGAUUGUAGUCUGCAACUCGACUACAUGAAGCUGGAAUCGCUAGUAAUCGUAGAUCAGCAUGCUACGGUGAAUACGUUCCCGGGUCU